GUCACAGGGGACAUUUGAUAAAAUUGGAAUGAUACAGAGAAUAUUAGCAUGGCCCUGCACAUAGAUAACACACACAAAUCGAGAAAUGGUAUCUGAGCCU